CUUUUGCUUUCAUUUCUGCACAUUUGGUGCCAGCAUAUUUCCCUGACAAGUGAUGCAAGAGGUGACGGCAAGAGUUCAUUGACCGUGGAGAUGCCUACGCAGGGAAUCACUUUCCUUCUUCUGCAGAGCCUCCCAAAAACCUGUGAUGUUCUGAUGAAACCCAUUCUGCUGCAAAUCUCCCUGCCCAGGUGAUACCGGAGAUCUGUUUGGAAUUGCAGAUGAAAACAUGAGAAAAAACAUGAGGAAGGAAUCUAAGAUCGCAAUAGUCCUUACUGCAAUAACAGACGAUGAGCAUCAAGGACAAGAAAUCCUGGAGUAACUCAGGGGUCUGUGGUUGUCAUUUGGGAAGGACACAUUCAUGUUGCAAUCAAUCAAGCCAAUAUGCCAGAGUGAGCUUUGAAAGGCCAUGGCGUGAAAGUGCUUAUAAAGUGACAGUGGUCAAGAUUACCUUCAUCAGAUUCGCUCCAUGACACCACUUCGACAGAGUUUAAAGGCCAGAAGGAUUAUAUUAUUUGCUAGUUCCUUGGUCUGGAAAGGCUCAGCCAGUCUAUGCCAAACGUAUCCACUACCACCAGAGAGGUGAUUGUCAUGCAGGUGAAUGACACUGCAAAUAGAAGCAGAAAAAUAUGUCUGCAACAUGAAGCAGGAGGGUGAGUAGUGGCUAUUUCAUUCUCCUCUCCAGAGUCAUGCAACAGGUCUGCUGCCAUAUCAUACAGGGAGGAUGUAGCGUAUGUCUCGUUCAUCUGCUUGAGUCAUGUGGUUGGAAAUGAGGCAGCAGUAGCUGCUUUAAGAAAUACUUUUCCCUUUGUGGAAUUAGUUAUGUUCAUUUAGAAUAAAUAUUGAGACUGAAUCAGAGGGUAGGACAGAAUAUUUCACUGUCAUGAUGUCAGGUGGGAAUUUGAAGAAAGGCUACUUAUAUUGUGAAGGACAGGGAUCUUCAAGAAGAACAUGAAGAAGGAAGGACAGCAGACCUGUGAUAUCUUAGUCUGGGAAGUGUGUGAUGAUGACACAGACCUCCUGAGUUCUCUGAUCCAAAGCAAACAGCACAGACUAUGGACAUACGGGAAAAAAAGCAGAGUCUCAGGAGGAUGCAUUUCCGCGUGUUUGGUCUGGUUUUGUGAUUGUAGUUUUUUGGUGUUUUUUUUUUUUUGUUUGUUUUGGUUUGGUUUUUUGUUUGUUUGUUUGUUUGUUUUCCAUUUUUCUUCUUCAUAGAGGCUGAUGCUUCUUCCUUCUGUCCUCUUCAGGUAGAGUGGUGACAAACUGCAGCUCAGAAUAGGGGUGCAGUAAUGAUUCUCCUACACGCUACAGAUAAAGCUGAUCUUCUCAUCCCACACAUGUUGCCCCUUGGCAAAAUCAGGAAAGCACAUAUGUUUUUACCAUUUCACAGAAUGACAGUAUUGAGCACCUUCCCAAACUGCUCUGCAUGAUGCUUCUCUGGCAUUGGACCUUGGUGAGCCCAGCAGCACACAGGCUCAGAAUACCAAAGCCAUGGCCUCUUUGGGCCCUCUAAGAAAUGCUGUAGCCAGAAUCACCUCACCCACAUUCAGAAGCUUUCAUCAUGCUGAUGCUGUUUUCUAGAACAUGUGAUAGCUCAACUGGGGGCCUUCAAAUCUCCAGGCUUUGAGAAGCACUCUCCAAUGUUUACCCUGCCAGAAUUUGCUGAACUGGCUUGAAACAAACCUGAUCCAUUUCAUACAUUUAGGAAUAACUCUAAAGCAGAUUUGUGGAGAUGUUUUCUCAUUGCUCUUUUCCUGGUUUCUGUCUACUUUUUAAUCUGUCUUGCUCCUUACCAGUGCUUAUAGCUGAUAUGUUGUAGUCACCUUCUCCACAUCUACUGAAAGCUCAAAAUUCAUUGGAAAAAUAAGAGAAAUUAGUGACAGAAAAGUUUUUUUUUCUUUCCUUAAUAUUUAUUCUUACAAGGUCCAAAGCUGGUGUACAGUUAGAGAGAUCAGCCCAUCUAGGAAGAAGAGCAGAACAUCUGGAUAUCCUCAGGGAAUCACAAGUUUCUCAUCUAGCUGUGCAGGAAGGCAACAAAUCACAUUGAAAAGUAAUAGUCAGAUAUCACCUGCACUCACUGUAGAUUUUGUAAAACUGUUAUUCCAAAGGGAGGAGCCUCUACAUGAUCCAUCCAUGUGCUUAAAAACAUUAUAAGAUGUUAGAGAUUACUUCAGUUUUAGACUACUGAAAGUCAUAAGUAAGUAGUUUCACAAAGUCAGCAUAAUGAGAAAAAUGUAAGCUUGAUGAAGACAACGUUCAGUUAACUCAAUGCUUUGAAAUUACUUUGAAAUGGAAUGGUUGUUCAGGCAUUCUGGGCCAGGUUGUGUCUAGUUAGCAAGGCUGUAUUUAGUUAACUGACUCUGAAAGUGAAAAGCAAUUUCAUAGUUGUGUCCUAAACUUCAUCAGUGUUUCUUGACAUGCUACUAUGUGGAACACUCCCUUCUUGGUGUGGCAACUCUGCAAAAUAUUUAGGUCUGCUAUUAGCAUAGCAGAGAGCAUAUAGGACCCUCUUAAGCUACAAACUGUGUUUCAGAAACCACAGCCAAUGCCAGAUCUCUGGUCUCCUUAAAAUUGUGCCCCUCUUAGAGUGGCCAUUUUUAUCCCAUUGUAAUUGACUUUUGUGAUUAUAAUUUGCUGAACUCUGCAACUCUAAAGGCAAAUUGCAAUGGAUCAGUUGAUCUAACUUGGACCUCGUCAGCAGGAGGAAGGCAGGAUGUAGAGGGAGUGAAUUACUGUCAAAUAUGAGGUUAAGUAGCCUGAGGUUAGAGAGGAAAAGAUCAGCAAAGCACUUCUAAUUGAUUUGUUAUGGACAACUUAACCGUAUUCACUCAUGAUCAGCACCCAUGCAAUAAAAUAAAACUGCAGGAAAACUCAUUCUUGUGUGCGUUCUACCAACAUCGGUGUACUGUCUCAUGGUUCCUGCAUGACUUUCCAGUUCUAUUCCACUUCACUAAUUACUGCACAGCUCUGACCAGGUUAAUACAAUCUAUGAUUCUACGAACCUCACAUAACUGCACAUGAUUAACACCACUGCAAUUUUUUGUUCUUUGUUAUCACUUUAAUUUAUUGCCAGAGUUUUUUAUUCUUUGGUCCUGUAAUUGGAUCCUUUCUUCUUUCUCAGCUUACAAUCUAAUCUUCUAGAAAUAUUGAUCUUGGCCACUCCCUGUGCCCAGUUCUUUGCCUUCUCUUUUUCAUUAUUAACUUCCUUCUUCUCCUGUUCCUACCACAUUCUGGUUUUUACAGAUGAAGAAUUUUGUUGUAUGUCUAUUUUUAUUCAAUUAUUAUUAAUAAAUAAAACCUUUAUCUAUCUGUGUACCCUCACAGAAGGAGUGUGGGCUGGGAAGCCAGGAAGAUGUGG
ensembl:lncRNA